rnacentral:misc_RNA from 1 species
GAUGAAGAACGCAGCGAAAUGCGAUAACUAAUGUGAAUUGCAGAAUUCCGUGAAUCAUCGAGUCUUUGAACGCACAUUGCGCCCCCUGGUAUUCCGGGGGGCAUGCCUGUCCGAGCGUCAUUACAACCCUCAAGCCCGGCUUGUGUAAUGGGCGGCCGUCUCUCCCCCCGGGGGGGGACGCCCCCGAAACUCAGUGGGGAUGUCGCGAUACCGAAGCCUCAGCUAAUGGGUAAACCACAGCUGCAAUGGCCGCGGCCGGCGUCCGCCUUCCACGGUCCGUCCGCCUAGCGCGGGCGGCCUUCUCAAGGUUGACCUCGGAUCAGGUAGGGAUACCCGCUGAACUUAAGCAUAUCAAUAAGCGGAGGA